CUUCGGAGGAGUUAGCGAAAUUCCAAUGUGUGCGAAUCGGCAAAAAAUGCGAAAUAACCCUUUAACCGUACAUUUGACAGAUACGCGCUCAUUGACUUUUUUGUAGAUCUUAUUGAGAUACAUGUGUGUGUCAAUUUUUGUGUCAUUUUGACAAAGCGUACAGGCGUGACACUCAACAAUGUGUAUUUUCACCUUAGGGGACAAGAAAAAAUGGACUUUUUUCUCCUGCCAUGGGGGGGCGCUCUUUUGGGGAGUAAAAAUUCCUUCACAAAUGUGUUGAUGGCUGGACAUUGCAUCAUCCUAGAUAACUUGGAGGCCAGUGAGGGCAAAAAUAAAAAGUUAUAAGACUUUUAAAUAUGUGGAUUUUAGGGUUAUCUUUGGCGCCCCCUAGAACCUAAACCGUGGGGUGCAGCGUCAUGAUUUGAAUAACUUUUAAUGGCCAUGGGGUGUAGAUUGGCCUGAGCAAAUGUGGUGCCGGUGGAACGAAAGCCUUCGGAGGAGUUAGCGAAAUUCCAAUGUGUGCGGAUCGGCAAAAAAUGCGAAAUAACCCUUUAACCGUACAUUUGACAGAUACGCCCGCACUGACUUUUUUGUAGAUCUUAUUGAAAUACAUGUGUGUGUCAAUUUUUGUGUCAUUUUGACAAAGCGUACAGGCGUGACAGUCAAUAGUGUGAAUUUUCACCUUAGGGGGCGCUAUGGAGCCAUUUUGCAUUUUCUUGUUUGGGCGACUUUGGAAUAUCAAAUUUUUCACCAGGCCCGGUCGUACUGCCAAAUUUCAUGAGUUUUCGCCAGUGGGAAGUGGGCCAUUUUCCAGUUCAAAGGGGAGGAAAAAGAAAAAAGAAACAAAGAAAAACCACUUGGGGAAUAAUAGGGCUCUCGCAGCUGCUUAGCAGCUACGCUCGGGCCCUAAGAAAGAAAGAAAGAAAGAACUAGGACCCCGUUGGGGCACUGGCGGGCCCGAGCUGUGUCGCGUCCCCCCCCCAACGCGCUGCCUCCCCGUCCCAUUUGUGUCCUCUGGCCAUCGCCCUCUCUGGUAACGCCCAUCACUGCAAAGACCCUUUUCCUUCAUCGGCGUUUGCUGUUCUUCCUGCCAGUGCGUGUUGCUUUCACUUACACUUGCCACAGCCAGCCUCUUGAGUGCCUAGCCUAUUGGAUAUCACUGUCACCUACUCAGGACAGUCAUUACCUUUCUAUUAAUACUUUGUUUUUUAAUUUCACAUUAAUUCCCAUAUUGUAAAAACAACUGGAAAAAACUUGAGCCCCUGCCCCUGUAUAAUCAUGUGCACGUCUCUGUUCUAGCUCUAAGGUGAAUCUUCACUGCUCAUGUUCUCCUCAGAAGCAGUCACCUCACUCCCCUCAGGUUACUGUACACAUGCACCAACUGCCUGCUUCAGGUUUGGAUGGAGCUUCAUGGUUGUCUUUUGGAGAAAUGACCAGUCAAGUUGUGUUUGAAAUUUGAUUUUUUUCAGGGGCAAAAGGAGCCUCUGCAUUCUUGUCAAAUAUGUAAAUAGCAUGUUUUUGCAGGUGCUAAAAACCAGACUCUGAGUGUGUGUGUGUGUGCGUGUGUGUGUGUGUCUGUGUGUGUGUGUGUGUGUGUGUGUGUGUGUGUGUGUGUGUGUGUGUGUGUGCGUUCAAGUCACAUGACAUAUUUAACCGGAUGUAGCUGACAGAGCUGCAGCAGUUAGCAGGUUUCACCCUCAGAGACCACCAGGGGUUCAUGUUGAGGCAUUUUCAGUUUUUUUUUUUUUUUUUUGCCAUAGACACUGUCAGCACAAUCUGCAGUUACACUAACAAAAAUGCUGCAAAAAACAAAGAAUUAUGGAAAAAUUACACAUGGACUAACAUAGAGGAGGAUCUACACAAGUUUUUUACAUCAUGUUUUACAUCAUGCAUCAUUUACAUCAUGUUUUUUUGUAGUGGCAUAAAUAAAAAGUGACAUUUGUGAGACUAUACAGUGUUUUGUAAAUAAUUUUACAAAGAACACCUGGGCCAUUGCCUGCAUUUUGAUGUAAAUAGAGGUAAAUUACUAUGUUCUAUGUUAAAAAUUUGCAUAUGUUUUGAAGUUUACAAUUUUUAUUUGAAGUUUAAGUUUUAAAAACAGUUCAUCACACAUAUUUGUGGUUUUCACAGUAAAAACGUUACUUUUUUCCACUCGGAUUUUAUGUUUUGUGUGUGAAUUUGGGUCCAAUGUGUAAAUAUAGUAUGUCAAAAUGAUAAAAUAACUGUAAAUUGACACAGGUGAGGUUGUGCUGAAAAAAAUGAUACCAGGCAAGGCAAGGUAAAAAUUUUGUGAGAGGAAAUAUAAAGGUAAAAUCUAAAGUAGUCAAAAACGGCCAAUAGUGACUCACAGACUCCACAGACAAGUCCCUUUGGCGCCACUCAGUGGGCAAAACUACUUUGUCUACUGUAAUGUAUAUUUGGGUCAUCUUUGGCGCCCCCUAAAACGUAAACCGUGGGGUGCAGCGUCAUGAUUUUUACAACUUUGAAUGGCCAUGGAGUGUAGAUUGGCCUGAGCAAAUUUGGUGUCAGUGGGACGAAAGCCUUAGGAGGAGUUAGCGAAAUUCCAAUGUGUGCGAAUCGGCAAAAAAUGCAAAAUAGCCCUUUUACCGUACAUUAUACAGAUACGCGCUCUUUGACUUUUUCGUAGAUCUAAUUGAGAUACACAUGAUUGUCAAUUUUUGUGUCAUUUUGCCAAAGCGUACAGGCGUGACAGUCAACAAUGUGUAUUUUCACCUUAGGGGACAAGAAAAAAUGGACUUUUUUCUCCUGCCAUGGGGGGGCGCUCUUUUAGGGAGUAAAAAUUCCUUCACAAAUGUGUUGAUGGCUGGACAUUGCAUCAUCCUAGAAAACUUGGAGGCCAGUGGGGACAAAAAUAAAAAGUUAUAAGACUUUUAAAUAUGUGGAUUUUACGGUUAUCUUUGGCUCCCCUAGAACCUAAACCGUGGGGUGCAGCGUCAUGAUUUGAAUAACUUUUAAUGGCCAUGGGGUGUAGAUUGGCCUGAGCAAAUGUGGUGCCGGUGGAACGAAAGCCUUCGGAGGAGUUAGCGAAAUUCCAAUGUGUGCGGAUCGGCAAAAAAUGCGGAAUAACCCUUUAACCGUACAUUUGACAGAUACGCGCGCAUUGACUUUUUCGUAGAUCUUAUUGAGAUACAUGUGUGUGUCAAUUUUUGUGUCAUUUUGCCAAAGCGUACAGGUGUUACACUCAACAAUGUGUAUUUUCACCUUAGGGGACAAGAAAAAAUGGACUUUUUUCUCCUGCCAUGGGGGGGCGCUCUUUUGGGGAGUAAAAAUUCCUUCACAAAUGUGUUGAUGGCUGGACAUUGCAUCAUCCUAGAAAACUUGGAGGCCAGUGAGGGCAAAAAUAAAAAGUUAUAAGACUUUUAAAUAUGUGGAUCUUAUGGUUAUCUUUGGCGCCCCCUAGAACCUAAACCGUGGGGUGCAGCGUCAUGAUUUGAAUAACUUUUAAUGGCCAUGGGGUGUAGAUUGGCCUGAGCAAAUGUGGUGCCGGUGGAACGAAAGCCUUCGGAGGAGUUAGCGAAAUUCCAAUGUGUGCGGAUCGGCAAAAAAUGCGAAAUAACCCUUUAACCGUACAUUUGACAGAUACGCCCGCACUGACUUUUUUGUAGAUCUUAUUGAGAUACAUGUGUGUGUCAAUUUUUGUGUCAUUUUGACAAAGCGUACCGGCGUGACAGUGAAUAGUGUGAAUUUUCACCUUAGGGGGCGCUAUGGAGCCAUUUUGCAUUUUCUUGUUUGGGCGACUUCGGAAUAUCAAAUUUUUCACCAGGCCCGGUCGUCCUGCCAAAUUUCAUGAGUUUUCGCCAGUGGGAAGUGGGCCAUUUUCCAGUUCAAAGGGGAGGAAAAAUAAUAAUAAUAAUAAUAAUAACAAAAGAAGGAAACUACAGGAACAAGAGGGCUCUCGCAGCUGCUUAGCAGCUACGCUCGGGCCCUAAAGAAAGAAACAAAGAAAAACCCCUACAGGAAUAACAGGGCCUACGCCCGGCUGCUCUGCAGCUGG